AUGGUCCUCCGAGUUGCUCAGGAGCUGAUAAGGAGAGGAAAUGGGUCAAUACCUGGGCCACCCUCUGAUCUGUGCGACUUUCCAGGACCAACAGACGGCAGAUCGCAGGAGGAUGGGAAAGAGUCGACAGACAAGCCCCGGCAGGGGGGCCUAUCUGUUGCAAAAGAAAGGUGUCUGUCUGCAGCCUGGUGUCAACCAGACAGUCUCCAGGGAUGCCAUGGACAGAAGCACAGACCACUAAAGCUGUGCACACCCACGGACAACCAAACCACAACAACAGCCCCAUCUGUCUAUCCACUGGCUCCUGCAUGUGGAACCACUACUGGCUCCCCGGUGACCCUGGGAUGCCUGGUCAAGGGCUAUUUCCCCGAGCCGGCAACCGUAACCUGGAACUCUGGAUCCCUGACCAGCGGUGUGCACAUCUUCCCAUCUGUCCUGCAUUCUGGUCUCUACUCCCUCAGCAGCUCAGUGACCGUGUCCUCCUGGCCCAGCCAGUCCGUCGUCUGCAACGUAGCCCACCCGGCCAGCAACACCAAGGUGGACAAGAAAAUUGAGCCCAGAGCAUCACCAGAUCCAUGUGAUGGGUGCAAGUGUCCACCUCCUGAUCUCACGGGUGGACCAUCUGUCUUCAUCUUCCCCCCAAAGCCCAAGGAUGUGCUCAUGGUCUCCCUGGCCCCCAAGAUCACGUGUGUGGUGGUGGACGUGAGCGAGGAGGAGCCAAAUGUCCAGUUCAACUGGUUCGUGGAUGAUAAAGAAGAUCACAAAGCUCAGACGCAGACCCAUGAGGAAAAGUACAACAGUACCUUGCGUGUGGUCAGUGUCCUCCCCAUCCAGCACCAGGACUGGAUGAGUGGCAAGAAGUUCAAAUGCAAGGUCAACAACAAAGCCCUCCCAGGCCCCGUCGAGAGAACCAUCUCAAAACCCAAAGUGCAAGCCCGAAUGCCACAGGUAUAUACAUUUGCUCCACCUGCGGAGCAGAUGACCAAAACAGAGGUCAGCGUGACCUGCUUGGUCACAGGCUUCUUACCUGAGGACAUCCAUGUGGAGUGGGAGAGCAGUGGACAACAAGAGCAGAACUACAAGAACACCCUGCCUGUCAAGGAGACCAACGGGUCUUACUUCAUGUACAGCAAGCUCAAUGUGCCAAAGAGCAGGUGGGAUCGAGGAGAUAGCUUCACCUGCUCCGUGUUACACGAGUCUCUGCACAACCACAUCACACAGAAGACCAUCUCCCGAUCUCCGGGUAAAUGAGCUCAGCACCCAGAAAGCUCUUAGGUCCUAAGGAACACUGACACCCAUCUCCACCCUUCCCUUGUAUAAAUAAAGCACCCAGCACUGCCCUGGGACCCUGUGAAA